rnacentral:rRNA from 1 species
UGGGGAAUUUUGGACAAUGGGCGCAAGCCUGAUCCAGCCAUGCCGCGUGCAGGAUGAAGGCCUUCGGGUUGUAAACUGCUUUUGUACGGAACGAAAAGCCCCCUUCUAAUAAAGGGGGGUGAUGACGGUACCGUAAGAAUAAGCACCGGCUAACUACGUGCCAGCAGCCGCGGUAAUACGUAGGGUGCAAGCGUUAAUCGGAAUUACUGGGCGUAAAGCGUGCGCAGGCGGUUAUGUAAGACAGAGGUGAAAUCCCCGGGCUCAACCUGGGAACUGCCUUUGUGACUGCAUAGCUUGAGUGCGGCAGAGGGGGAUGGAAUUCCGCGUGUAGCAGUGAAAUGCGUAGAUAUGCGGAGGAACACCGAUGGCGAAGGCAAUCCCCUGGGCCUGCACUGACGCUCAUGCACGAAAGCGUGGGGAGCAAACAGGAUUAGAUACCCCUGGUAGUCCACGCCCUAAACAAUGUCAACUGAUUGUUGGGAAUUAACUUUCUCAGUAACGAAGCUAACGCGUGAAGUUGACCGCCUGGGGAGUACGGCCGGCAAGGUUA